rnacentral:tRNA from 1 species
GCUUUCAUAGUGUAGUGGUUAUCACGUCUGCUUUACACGCAGAAGGUCCCAGGUUCGAGCCCUGGUGGGAGCA